rnacentral:rRNA from 1 species
UGCAAGUCGAGCGGCAGCGACACAUUGAACCUUCGGGGGAUUUGUUGGGCCUUGAGCGGCGGACGGGUGAGUAAUGCCUGGGAAAUUGCCAUGUAUGUGGGGGAUAACCAUUGGAGACGAUGGCUAAUACCGCAUGAUAGCUUCGGCUCAAAGAGGGGGACCUUCGGGCCUCUCGCGUCAGGAUAUGCCCAGGUGGGAUUAGCUAGUUGGUGAGGUAAGGGCUCACCAAGGCGACGAUCCCUAGCUGGUCUGAGAGGAUGAUCAGCCACACUGGAACUGAGACACGGUCCAGACUCCUACGGGAGGCAGCAGUGGGGAAUAUUGCACAAUGGGCGCUAGCCUGAUGCAGCCAUGCCGCGUGUAUGAAGAAGGCCUUCGGGUUGUAAAGUACUUUCAGCAGUGAGGAAGGAGGUGUCGUUAAUAGCGGUAUCUUUUGACGUUAGCUGCAGAAGAAGCACCGGCUAACUCCGUGCCAGCAGCCGCGGUAAUACGGAGGGUGCGAGCGUUAAUCGGAAUUACUGGGCGUAAAGCGCAUGCAGGUGGUUUGUUAAGUCAGAUGUGAAAGCCCGGGGCUCAACCUCGGAAUUGCAUUUGAAACUGGCAGGCUAGAGUACUGUAGAGGGGGGUAGAAUUUCAGGUGUAGCGGUGAAAUGCGUAGAGAUCUGAAGGAAUACCGGUGGCGAAGGCGGCCCCCUGGACAGAUACUGACACUCAGAUGCGAAAGCGUGGGGAGCAAACAGGAUU